rnacentral:lncRNA from 10 species
GGAUGCUUGGCCAAAAUGAAGGUAUAGAAAAGGAACAACCAAAGAAAGAACAGGACAUACUGGAUCUUUCUGGGUAUCAUCAAACUUCUCCAUCCAAGAAUAAGGGACAGCAGCAUCUCUUUGACAUCCAUAGCCCAUUUCUGCUUUGCCAAUAUCACUUGUGCAUCUGGGGCCACCAAUGCAUCCUAUCCUAGCAAGUAUCAAUGGGAAUAAAGAAGAAACUUAGAAAACGACAAAAUUCAAGAAGAGCUGAAGCUCUGGAGCUAGCUUUGGUGGAGAAAGAAUGAUGCGGGAUGUUGGACUAAGCGAGAAAUGCAUAAGAAGCUGCUGAGUUUAACACAAAGCCAUAUAGAGGUCAUUUCUAUAGAGCACAAUAAAUACCAUUAUGUGUUAGACGGAUGGAUGGAUCACUUUUCUCCCCUUGCAAGGACCCUGGUCUAACCCCAGAUAUCAUCUCUUGGACUCUGCUAGCAGCCAUGGAAAUAGUACCCUGCUUCCAUCCCCGCCUCUUCUCAUUCCAUUUUUCAAGUAUAGACACAGCUUAAGGGACAAACAAGAUUCAAAACAUGAGAUUUCCAAAAGUAAAUUUUCAAGGUACUCCUAUGGGAAAGCGCCGUUGAGAAUAUCCUUCUCAGGUUUAGCACAGUCCCUCAAGCCCAUCAUCCAAGGAAAACAGCCC